CCGGAAGUGGCCGCGGAGCACCACGGGAGCCUCCUGUCCUCGUCCCUGUUGGGCGGAGCUCUUGCUGUCUGGUCCAAUGCACGUCCGGACUCUCGGGCUGGUCUCAAACUUCUGAGCCUCUUUGUUCCAUAUCAAGACAGCUGGAAUGGCAGCGGUUACCACUAUGGCCAGCUCAUUCAGUGCUGCAGACUGAACGCAGGGCUCUCUACACACCAAGCAGGCGUUCGGCCAACUGCUAUGGCUCCAACCCCAUGUUCUGGACUCUAACUAACUUCUUAAGGGCUAAGAAACACCUAAGAGCUAGUUUUGUCCCCUGACCUGGACACUGCGACAGGAAAGCCAUCUGCUCACCAUGGAGCUUCUCCUGAUAUCAGGACACUAAAAUUAUGGCACCUGAAGUUGUUUGUGACCAGCUGGGAAAACAUGGUCAGCGCUGAACUGAGCUGAGGAGUUGGUGGAGACACAUGGUACAAACCCUGGCAGUGGCUGAAGAUUCGGGAAAACCUUUGUGGAUACAGAGACUGUCAAGAGUCAGACUUCUGAACAGGAAAGCCAAGCAAAAUUAAGACACUCCCUGUCUUUUGAGUCUGCGGAGCUCCCUGAAGGCUUGCUCCUGACAGGGAAGAGCUACGGAUAGUGUACCGACACAGGACUGUGCUCAAGGCACAGAAGGUUCCUGUCCGUCCUGCCCCGGCACUGAAACAGAGCAGAUACACUUACCACACCUGCUGCCUGAAGCUGUCCAUUCUGAGGGUUCUGUCAGCAUUACGAUAGAACAGGACUUCCACUCCCAGAUCAUUCGCCAGAAGUCCUCAAUCGUGUGGAGAAGAGGGCCCUGGCUGGCAAUGUAGGAGUCUUUCUGCCGGUAUCCCUGUAUGGGUCAGGCAUGUGAGGGAGGCACUGGAAGUUCCGUGGACACACACGGGGACAUAAUCCACCACUUACAUCAAUGAAGGAUGCGUUCACAUAGUCUGUGUUCUCUUCGCCUCGUUUGACUGGAAUGAUCACUCUGUUAAAUUCAUCUGCAAGGAGGACAACGAAUGGCUUGCAGCUCACCAACACUCACUCCUCUUAUCAAGCUCGUUUCCCGUGCGCAUCUUGUCAUUCUGGAUUUUGAUUGAAGUUAAUUUCUGAAUGAAGAAAGAAGAGUGACUAUUGCUCCCAGUGAAGAACCUGAGAGACUCCCGCCACUCACUAAGACCACACCUCCAGGCCCCGACCUUCUUCCCUACAGUGCUCGGCUCCAUUUCCAAAUGUCAUUUCUGGCUUUAAGUUUAGUAAGGAGUCAAAAGAAUGUUUGAGAAGCAACACCUUCUAGGCUCCUGUGGAACUUCCUGAGAUUCCUCUAACCCUGAAUUUUCUGGGCCACUUUUCUGCCAUUUAGAAAAAUAUUCAAAUUCUAUUCUUUC
ensembl:processed_transcript 4930473A02Rik RIKEN cDNA 4930473A02 gene